CCUACGGGAGGCAGCAGUGAGGAAUAUUGGUCAAUGGGCGCAAGCCUGAACCAGCCAUGUCGCGUGCAGGAAGACUGCCCUAUGGGUUGUAAACUGCUUUUAUAGUAGAAGAAACACAUCUACGUGUAGAUGUCUGCCAGUAUACUAUGAAUAAGCAUCGGCUAACUCCGUGCCAGCAGCCGCGGUAAUACGGAGGAUGCAAGCGUUAUCCGGAUUUAUUGGGUUUAAAGGGUGCGUAGGCGGGACUGUAAGUCAGGGGUGAAAUACUGCAGCUUAACUGUAGCAUUGCCUUUGAAACUGCCGUUCUUGAGUACAGUUGAGGUAGGCGGAAUGUGGUGUGUAGCGGUGAAAUGCAUAGAUAUACCACAGAACGCCGAUUGCGAAGGCAGCUUACUAAGCUGUUACUGACGCUGAGGCACGAAAGCGUGGGGAUCAAACAGGAUUAGAUACCCUGGUAGUCCACGCUGUAAACGAUGAUUACUGGUUGUUAGCGAUAUAUAGCUAGUGACUGAGCGAAAGCAUUAAGUAAUCCACCUGGGGAGUACGUCGGCAACGAUGAAACUCAAAUGAAUUGACGG
rnacentral:rRNA from 1 species